GACGAACUGUGCAAACGUUAUUCGGAAUCACUGGGCUUGAAGAGUGCGUAGGCGGUUUCGUAAGUAGGGUGUGAAAGCCCCCAGCUCAACUGGGGAACUGCGUCCUAAACUGCGAGGCUGGAGUGAGGUAGGGGUGUGUGGAACUUCCGGUGGAGCGGUGAAAUGUGUUGAUAUCGGAAGGAACGCCGGUGGCGAAGGCAGGUCUCUGGGCUGACACUGACGCUCAUGCACGAAAGCGUGGGGAGCAAACAGG
rnacentral:rRNA from 1 species